rnacentral:rRNA from 1 species
AGAGUUUGAUCCUGGCUCAGGAUGAACGCUAGCGGCAGGCCUAAUACAUGCAGGUCGGACGGGAUAGGAGAGCUUGCUUUCCUUGAGAGUGGCGCACGGGUGCGUAACACGUAUGUAACCUACCUUGUUCAGGGGGAUAGCCUCUCGAAAGAGAGAUUAAGACCGCAUAACAUCAUCAUUCAGCAUUGGGAGAUGAUCAAAUAUUUAUAGGAACAAGAUGGGCAUGCGGAACAUUAGCUAGUUGGUAAGGUAACGGCUUACCAAGGCUACGAUGUUUAGGGGAUCUGAGAGGAUGACCCCCCACACUGGUACUGAGACACGGACCAGACUCCUACGGGAGGCAGCAGUAAGGAAUAUUGGUCAAUGGAGGCAACUCUGAACCAGCCAUGCCGCGUGCAGGAAGACGGCCCUACGGGUUGUAAACUGCUUUUAUACCGGAAUAAACCUUGAUACGUGUAUCGAGCUGAAUGUACGGUAAGAAUAAGGAUCGGCUAACUCCGUGCCAGCAGCCGCGGUAAUACGGAGGAUCCAAGCGUUAUCCGGAUUUAUUGGGUUUAAAGGGUGCGUAGGUGGCUCAUUAAGUCAGGGGUGAAAGACGGUAGCUUAACUAUCGCAGUGCCUUUGAUACUGUUGAGCUUGAAUGAACUAGAGGUAGGCGGAAUGUGACAAGUAGCGGUGAAAUGCAUAGAUAUGUCACAGAACACCAAUUGCGAAGGCAGCUUACUAUGGUUUGAUUGACACUGAGGCACGAAAGCGUGGGGAUCAAACAGGAUUAGAUACCCUGGUAGUCCACGCC